rnacentral:tRNA from 1 species
GCGCUGCUGGCGGAAUGCGGCAUACGCGGCACACUUAAAACGUGACCACAUGUGAGUUCGAAUCUCACGCGGCGCACCA